rnacentral:rRNA from 1 species
UACCAGCACCCCGAGUGGUCGGGACGUUUAUUGGGCCUAAAGCAUCCGUAGCCGGUUCUACAAGUCUUCCGUUAAAUCCAACUGCUUAACAGGUGGGCUGCGGAAGAUACUAUAGAGCUAGGAGGCGGGAGAGGCAAGCGGUACUCGAUGGGUAGGGGUAAAAUCCGUUGAUCCAUUGAAGAACACCUGAGGCGAAGGCGGGUUGCUGGGCUGAUACUGACGCUGAGGCGCGAAAGCCAGGGGAGCAAACGGG